AACCAGCUUUUUAUUUUCCUUUUUUUUUAAAUAAAUACAAACUGUUAUUCCAUUAAAAAUGCAGUGCAUCAGAUUGUUUUACAUCUUUACAAAGCAGGGUGCCUUACCAAGCUGCAAGCAUUUGUUUUAGUGUGUGUGAAAGAGCAGGUGAGUUGCUUAUAUUAUCUUUUUCUGAGCGAUCCUUCGUUUUACUCUUUCAAAGCCUUGAGAAAAGAAGCAUCCAGUCCAAGUAGAGGAUUCCAUGGCACAUUUUGUUCUGUUGUGCUUGAUUGCAUAGAAAUCAUCAUCAUCAUCAUUACAAACAAAAA